GCUUCCUCCCCACUUCCCCCACUCCCCACCACAACACCGCCGCCGCCGCAGGAGCAGACGCGAGAAAGGAGAUCUUGCGAGGAGGCGACCGACCAUGAGGGCCAAGUGGAAGAAGAAGCGCAUGAGGAGGCUGAAGAGGAAGCGCCGAAAGAUGAGGCAGCGAUCUAAGUAGGCUGAUGGGAGGUGGUGACGCCAUGUUGCAGCUAGCUAUCCAUGUCUUUGGCUUGAUAUAGUUACUUGGCAUGGUGCCAUUGUUCAUCUGUCAAAUUGUCUAAUUCAGAAACCUGCACUAAAGUAGGCCUGUUAUCGUUGCUAUUAGUUCUGUCUGGAGUUUUGUCAUCAGGACCAAUCAGCCGCCGUAUGAACUCUGUGGUGUCUUGUCUUUUAUUUGCUGCUUAUAAGUCAGCCAUCAAGUAUUUCCUAUGUUGGUUUGCGUCUUC